rnacentral:rRNA from 1 species
UGGGGAAUUUUGCGCAAUGGGCGAAAGCCUGACGCAGCAACGCCGCGUGCGGGAUGAAGGCCUUCGGGUUGUAAACCGCUUUCAGCAGGGAAGAAGAUGACUGUACCUGCAGAAGAAGCCCCGGCUAACUACGUGCCAGCAGCCGCGGUAAUACGUAGGGGGCAAGCGUUAUCCGGAAUUAUUGGGCGUAAAGAGCGCGUAGGCGGCUUGUUAAGUCAGAUGUGAAAUCCGGGGGCUCAACCCGCGGACUGCAUCUGAAACUGGCAGGCUUGAGUUUGGUAGAGGAGUGUGGAAUUCCCAGUGUAGCGGUGGAAUGCGCAGAUAUUGGGAGGAACACCAGUGGCGAAGGCGGCACUCUGGGCCACGACUGACGCUGAGGCGCGAAAGCUAGGGGAGCAAA